UGCAACGCUUUCUGAGCGGUGCAUGUUAAUAUUUGUAAAGGCAAUUCUAUAUAAGCGUGCUCUAAAAUAUUUUCUAAAUGUUCCCGCUACAAUUUCCCCCUAAAAUUUUGCUAAAAACCUAUGCCCUAAAAUAUUUCACCAAAACCUAUCUUCCAAAUUUUACCCACACUAAAAGAAUCUCCUCGUUCUUCUUCCCUAAAAUUCCAUAAGCAAAGUUGGGUCUUUUCUCUUAUCUUUUCGCAGACCGAGUAAAGCAGAGUAGAGUGGGUUAAAAUACUUCUGAUCGCAUACUGCAAUAUUGGAAAUCCUCAAUCCUUGGGUCAUCAACCUAUUACUUUCUUUAUGGAGGUCCUUGCAUUAUGUGACCAUUCAGUUAUUUUGGACAAAAGUGUAACACAAGGUCUGUUCAGUUCUAUUUGAAAGUAAAACCUAGAGUUUGAAGAACCAAGG